ensembl:lncRNA
AUCUGUUGUGUGAACCUGGAGCUGUGUCAACGUGUGGUCUAAGCUGUGCUAUUUGGCCGUUUUAGCUUUUCUAUGACAGCUUGGUGUGGAUUGCAUAGCCUUCUGUUGGAGAGGAAAAAACAUUGUUUUAUGCCUGUGGGGAAACUUGUAAUGGACUCCGCCACCUCUUGCCGAUGCUUAUUACGAUACUUAUUUUAGUUACCUGGAGACGGGUAACUGAAAAACCGACAUGAAGCAAAGUGGGAGAGAUAUUCCUUCUGAGACAGUGAAGGUGCUGCGUGGAAGAUGUAAACUUCUGACCACAACUGUAAAUGAUCCACAUAUGUUAGAAAUGAAUAAAAGAGAAAAGCUGUAUAUGUUACAGAGACGGAGUGCAUACCCUCACAUAUGAACAAAAUUCAUGGCUCACCAUUGACUUGUGUUGUAUGAGUGGGCAUAAUUGUCUGCUUGAAAAACUGAUCGAUCCAUCCUGAUCCCCGGCAACCUCCUCCAACUCAUCCAGGACAGACACCCAGAUGUUCAUGUGCCUGAAGUGCCCAGGAGACAUCCUGAUCAGUUGCCUGAAGCAGAUUAACUUGCACACAUAAUUCCCCCUGGAAUGAUCAAGCGCUCCACCCCACUCCAACACAGAAGUCAGACAUCUCCAGAGGAAGUCUAUGGCUGCUGGCUGCAUCCACAAUUCCAUUCCUUUGGUGCCUACCCAAAACUCAUGUCGGGAAUCUUCCUCACCUGUUGUCUGCAUCAAUAUACCACUAGACAAAUCCAUGCACCCAUCUCUUGCUCUUCUAUCCAAAUUUUAGUUUUAGGCUACUAGAUAGCCCUGUGACAGACUGGUGAUCUGUCCAGGCUGUACUUCUUGCCCCAUUGCACCUGGGAUAGGCCCCAACCACAUCCCAUGACCCUGAAAUGGAUAAGUGGAAGAGAAUGGAUGGAUACUACAUUUCUCUAAGUUAAACUAAAGCGUUUUAAUGUAGCUUUUGAAAUUUUAUGAGUAGUCAAAUAAUUCUUUCACACU